AUAGAAGGCCUGGGUCCAAAGACCAUCAAAGUCAAUGGAAGUCUUUCCAUUGACUUUAGUGGGCUUUGGAUCAGGCUUUUUUAU
rnacentral:pre_miRNA from 1 species